rnacentral:rRNA from 1 species
GAUGGACGCUGGCGGCGUGCCUAAUACAUGCAAGUCGAGCGAACAGACGAGGAGCUUGCUCCUCUGACGUUAGCGGCGGACGGGUGAGUAACACGUGGAUAACCUACCUAUAAGACUGGGAUAACUUCGGGAAACCGGAGCUAAUACCGGAUAAUAUAUUGAACCGCAUGGUUCAAUGGUGAAAGACGGUUUUGCUGUCACUUAUAGAUGGAUCCGCGCCGCAUUAGCUAGUUGGUAAGGUAACGGCUUACCAAGGCAACGAUGCGUAGCCGACCUGAGAGGGUGAUCGGCCACACUGGAACUGAGACACGGUCCAGACUCCUACGGGAGGCAGCAGUAGGGAAUCUUCCGCAAUGGGCGAAAGCCUGACGGAGCAACGCCGCGUGAGUGAUGAAGGUCUUCGGAUCGUAAAACUCUGUUAUUAGGGAAGAACAAAUGUGUAAGUAACUAUGCACGUCUUGACGGUACCUAAUCAGAAAGCCACGGCUAACUACGUG